rnacentral:rRNA from 1 species
CGCUCAGAUUGAACGCUGGCGGCAGGCAUAACACAUGCAAGUCGGACGGUAGCACAGAGAGCUUGCUCUCGGGUGACGAGUGGCGGACGGGUGAGUAAUGUCUGGGGAUCUGCCCGAUAGAGGGGGAUAACCACUGGAAACGGUGGCUAAUACCGCAUAACGUCGCAAGACCAAAGAGGGGGACCUUCGGGCCUCUCACUAUCGGAUGAACCCAGAUGGGAUUAGCUAGUAGGCGGGGUAACGGCCCACCUAGGCGACGAUCCCUAGCUGGUCUGAGAGGAUGACCAGCCACACUGGAACUGAGACACGGUCCAGACUCCUACGGGAGGCAGCAGUGGGGAAUAUUGCACAAUGGGCGCAAGCCUGAUGCAGCCAUGCCGCGUGUAUGAAGAAGGCCUUCGGGUUGUAAAGUACUUUCAGCGGGGAGGAAGGCGAUGUGGUUAAUAACCGCAUUGAUUGACGUUACCCGCAGAAGAAGCACCGGCUAACUCCGUGCCAGCAGCCGCGGUAAUACGGAGGGUGCAAGCGUUAAUCGGAAUUACUGGGCGUAAAGCGCACGCAGGCGGUCUGUUAAGUCAGAUGUGAAAUCCCCGGGCUUAACCUGGGAACUGCAUUUGAAACUGGCAGGCUUGAGUCUCGUAGAGGGGGGUAGAAUUCCAGGUGUAGCG